GGGAAUGUAGUCUGUGCAGAGAUUGAAGUAGUUGCUGGUUCAGGACCAGUACCAUGCGGAAACAUCAAGUAUGGAUGCACAGAAAUUGUUGACUACUCAAAGAAAAGAGAUCACGAAGACGCCUGCCCUUAUGCACCAUGCCCAUGCCCUCUCCAGAACUGUAAAUUUGUUAAUUCCUCCAAGCAACUCUCAUCGCAUUUCAGCAGUAAGCACUGUGAUUCAGGAAGGCACUUCCAGUAUGAUUGCCCAUUGCCUAUCUCGUUGAGCAAGAAGGAAACUUUCCUUGUUUUACAAGCAGAAAAAGAUGGGGUCCUCUUUCUUCUUUCCAAGGGAACACAAAGUAUAGGGCAUACCAUUGUGAUUACUUGUAUCGGUCCAAGCUCAUCAAAGGAAUGCUUCUUGUAUGAUGUUGUAGCAGAAAAAGGAAGCAGUUCACUGAAAUUUAAAUCAUCUGCUCAUAGUUUUCCAGGUAGAUUUCAAGGUUUACCCCCGGUGGAUUUUCUCCUGGUUCCUUUUGCUCAUCUGGACUCAUCGGGGCAGCUAGAUUUAGAGAUUUGUAUAUGGAGCCCGACGGAGCCUGGAUCAGAGUGAGCUCUGUAGAUGUAACAUAGCAGCUUUGUUUGUACAAUUGUAUUUGUCAGAAUGUAGUAAUAUGUUAUUAAUCAACAUAUUUUGGGAGUUUAUUGAUAAACGGAAUGAAGGAAAAUUAUUGAUCAU
rnacentral:misc_RNA from 1 species